rnacentral:rRNA from 1 species
UACGUAGGGUGCGAGCGUUGUCCGGAAUUAUUGGGCGUAAAGGGCUCGUAGGCGGUUUGUCGCGUCGGGAGUGAAAACACACAGCUUAACUGUGUGCUUGCUUCCGAUACGGGCAGACUAGAGGUAUGCAGGGGAGAACGGAAUUCCUGGUGUAGCGGUGAAAUGCGCAGAUAUCAGGAGGAACACCGGUGGGGAAGGCGGUUCUCUGGGCAUUACCUGACGCUGAGGAGCGAAAGUGUGGGGAGCGAACAGG